rnacentral:rRNA from 1 species
CUGGGUGAUAGCUGGUUGCCUGCAAAACGAAUUUAAGUUCUCCCUCAGUCCCCCCUCAAGGCAAACAACCAAACCCCCAUGUAACGGACUAAGAGCUAUUUAAAGGGGGUACAGCCCCUUUAAAACAGGACACAGCCUCCACCAGCGGAUAAGCCCAACAACUCCCCCUAACCCGUGGGCCUUAAAGCAGCCAUCUCCAAAGAGUGCGUCAAAGCUCCAACCAAAAAAAUCCAAAAACAACGUGACUCCCUAUACCCAUAGCAGGCCAACCUAUAACAAUAGAUGAAUUCAUGCUAGAACGAGUAACCAGGACACCGUCCCCUUAAGCGCAAGCCUACACACCAUUAACAGCACACCUACAAUACAACCCCCCUCGACCAAACAUUAAACACACCCUGUUAACCCAACCCAGGAGCGCACACUAGGACGAUUAAAAUCUGCAAAAGGAACUCAGCAAACCCGAGGCCCGACUGUUUACCAAAAACAUAGCCCUCAGCCAAACAAGUAUUGGGGGUGAUGCCUGCCCAGUGACAGCACGUUUAACGGCCGCGGUAUCCUAACCGUGCAAAGGUAGCGCAAUCAAUUGUCCCAUAAAUCGAGACCUGUAUGAAUGGCCAAACGAGGUCUCAACUGUCUCCUGCAGACAAUCAGUGAAACUGAUCUCCCCGUGCAAAAGCGAGAAUAAACACAUAAGACAAGAAGACCCUGUGGAACUUAAAAAUCAAUAGCCACCACAUCCAACCUCAAACCCACCGGGCCCACACCACCCC